rnacentral:rRNA from 1 species
GAUGAACGCUAGCGAUAGGCCUAACACAUGCAAGUCGAGGGGCAGCAUAGAGUAGCAAUACUUUGAUGGCGACCGGCGCACGGGUGAGUAACACGUAUGCAACCUACCUACAUCAGGGGAAUAACCCGGAGAAAUUCGGACUAAUACCGCAUAAUACAGGGAUGCCGCAUGGCAAUAUUUGUUAAAGAUUUAUCGGAUGUAGAUGGGUAUGCGUUCAAUUAGCUAGUUGGUGAGGUAACGGAUCACCAAGGCAACGAUGGAUAGGGGAACUGAGAGGUUUGUCCCCCACACUGGAACUGAGACACGGACCAGACUCCUACGGGAGGCAGCAGUGAGGAAUAUUGGUCAAUGGACGAGAGUCUGAACCAGCCAAAUCGCGUGAAGGAAGACUGCCCUACGGGUUGUAAACUUCUUUUGUACAGGAAUAAAAGACAUUACGUGUAAUGUAUUGCAUGUACUGUACGAAUAAGCAUCGGCUAACUCCGUGCCAGCCGCCGCAGUAA